AGGAUCCUCAUGGCCUCUAGUUUGGCCAUUCAGUCUUUCCAGGUUUAUGCAGAUUUUGGUGGAUGCUAGACACACUAAAGAAACACCAUCUCAGGGGUCACUUGGAUUGGAAUGAAGCCAAGGCCAUGGGACCAACUGACUUCCAAGGAUAUUUGGGCCAGGGUGGCAGAUACGUAGGAGAAAAUGUCCUUUGGUGUGAGGAGAGGUCCUUCCCAACCCCAGGGUGUGCACUCCUCUGGCCCUUUGGAGCUGUUAAAUACUGGCCAGAGCAGAUGACAUGAGAUGCCUACUUUUGGAUGGAAACACCUUGCAUGAUCUCUGCUUCUUCAUUCCUGUAAUUGUUUUAAACAGUACUCAUGGAAGAAAACUCAGGACCAUUUUUGUUAGUGGCUAACAAAUUGUUACAGCCUUUAUCAUAGUGUAAGCAUUCUGCAAACUCAGAGACUUUGCAUCUGGAGAUCUGCUACUACGAUGCAACAUUCAGUGUCUUUCAAAAUGGAACCUGGCAUAUCACCUUUUUGUUUGAUAUUUUCCCCACUCUUCAUCUCACUUAUCCUCCUUUUCUUUCAUUCCCGUCUACAUACAAACUUCAUGAGAGAACAGUUUUCUCUUUGGAAGAAUCUAACUUAGAUAUUUUGUGCUAUCAUAUGGACAGAAGGGCUAAAACUCUUCUUUAGUGGCUAGUCAAUAAUCGCAAAGCCAGGAUCACAAUUUCCUCCCAGUUUUCCACUCAGUCCUGACUUUGCUCAGCUGGAGUAUUUGCUAAUGAAUAGACUCUGCUUUCCUCAUUCAGAAAGUACACGGCUUUUGUCAUUGGCA
rnacentral:lncRNA from 1 species